rnacentral:rRNA from 1 species
UGAGGAAUAUUGGUCAAUGGACGAGAGUCUGAACCAGCCAAGUAGCGUGCAGGAUGACGGCCCUAUGGGUUGUAAACUGCUUUUGUUUGGGAAUAAUCGACAUUACGUGUAAUGUUUUGCAUGUACCAUUCGAAUAAGGACCGGCUAACUUCGUGCCAGCAGCCGCGGUAAUACGAAGGGGGCUAGCGUUGUUCGGAUUUACUGGGCGUAAAGCGCACGUAGGCGGACUUUUAAGUCAGGGGUGAAAUCCCGGGGCUCAACCCCGGAACUGCCUUUGAUACUGGAAGUCUUGAGUAUGGUAGAGGUGAGUGGAAUUCCGAGUGUAGAGGUGAAAUUCGUAGAUAUUCGGAGGAACACCAGUGGCGAAGGCGGCUCACUGGACCAUUACUGACGCUGAGGUGCGAAAGCGUGGGGAGCAAACAGG